UACGAAGGGGGCUAGCGUUGCUCGGAAUCACUGGGCGUAAAGCGCACGUAGGCGGCUUUUUAAGUCAGGGGUGAAAUCCUGGAGCUCAACUCCAGAACUGCCUUUGAUACUGGGAAGCUUGAGUCCGGGAGAGGUGAGUGGAACUCCGAGUGUAGAGGUGAAAUUCGUAGAUAUUCGGAAGAACACCGGUGGCGAAGGCGGGUCUCUGGGCCGAUACUGACGCUGAGGAGCGAAAGCGUGGGGAGCGAACAGG
rnacentral:rRNA from 1 species